GACACCCUGAACUCCUGCCCUAAUACUGUAAAUGUUCAGCCAUGAAUAUGAGAGGCAGACGUUCACUUGGUUUUGGAGAGGACUUUAACAAUGGAUGAAAAUCAUAGGAUUGGACAGCGUUAUGGGGAAUGAGCAUGGGAGGUCAAGAGAAUGGAGGAUUGCCCAUUCAAAGCAAAUGCCCUGGGAGUUUCCUUAAAUGCAUCUUCGCUUUUAUUGAUUAUAUAUGCAAACUGUGUUAAUAUUAAGGUCGGAGACUAAAGAAAACUCCAAACCAAUAAAGAAAGAGAGACUGAAGGUCCUUUUGCCUGUUUUCCAUAAAUCUAGCAUCAUGAAUAUUUCAUCCCUCUGAGAUUUCUCUCCUGCUGGAGCUUUGGAGUGUGACAAUGGUGUUUGUAUCCAAUCUGUCAAACGCCAUUAUCACACUAAAUAGCUACUGUUAGAUAAACCAACCGGUGCAGGAAAAGGAGGAGGAGGAGGAGGUGUUGAUGCUAACAGAGGAAGAUAAGAAUAUUUGAGAAACGGCAUUAUCUGGCAGCUAUGAGAGAAUACCGCAAUAACAUGUCACUUCCAUUGCCAAAAUGUCAAGCAAUAAAUAAUAUUAUUUAUUAGUACGUGUAAUCCAGCUAGUUUUGCUGAGAUGGCAUGACUCAAACGUAUGUUCAUCAAUGGUAGGACUGCUCAAGAGCAAAUGGUUAUAUAAAUUAUUGAGAACAAACAGCCUAUGUACCACUGUCACUCUUCCCCCCCCCUUUCUUCUCCAAUCCAAAUGACAUUAUUAAGUAUUCAUUCCAUUUAUUAAUAAGUUAAUAGUUAUGGCUAUUUUAGCCUGAAGCAGUAGCUGUAUUGUUGCAUUGAUCUUAGAUAAACAAGCUGGAUCAUGGAAGCAUAAUUCUUUUUGGGACUCAGCUGCAGGCCGCUCAGCUGUGAAUACGUUAAUCAUUUAGCCAAAUGUUAAAGAAAAUAGCAGCCAACUUCUCACAGUGUCUGAAAUUUGGCAGAAAAGUAGCCAAGAUCCAUUCCCAUAACUGCAAAAUAAACAUUCCAUUAUCUUGUGGUCUAUUACUUUGAAAUAAAAUUAGGGCUGCAAAUACAAUUAACUGGGCAUGUUAAUAUUCAAUCUCUAAUUUCCACUGUUGACUGUACUAUUCCAAUCUGAUUUGGAAAUUUCAUCAAAAGCAUCACUGAUAUCACCAUCUCCUAUAUAGACAAAAUGUCUACUAAAUAUCUAACAAUAACUCACUGUACUUUUUAUCAAUUGAUUGUACUGUAAACUUUACUUUAUGUAAUCAGAAUUUUUGUAUGUUCUUACUAGGUUUUUAUCCUGGUGUAAUCACAGCUGUCUCUGAACAAUGUUAUCAAAAUCAGUUUUUCUAUUAAUUUAUUUUUCUGCUCAAGGGGAGCCCAAUUCUGGCUUACCAAUUCAUUUGAUAUAAUAAAAGUGUUUAUAAAUGUGUGUGUA